rnacentral:misc_RNA from 1 species
UAGCCCUUUUGAGUACUAGAAUAUCCUAUAAACACACAUUUAAGAGCUCUAUGUUCUAAUUUCUCAAUAUUUGUUUUGUGGAUAAAGCACAUGUUCAAAAAUUUUUUAGGAACAGUAUAAGAAUUAUGAUAUUGUAAAAACUUUAAAGGGCUUUUACAGUUCAGUAUUCUCAGAGGCAUUCUAUUGAUAAUAUAUGUUGCAGCAAAAACUGCAUCCUCCUAAUAAGAUAUAGGAAGAUUUAUAGUAAACAUAAAGAUCGAGCCACCUCUAAUAAAUAUCCCUUUUUUUUUAUUUUUCAGACAACCCCAUUUUGUUCACUAGUAUUGACACAACUAGUUUGAUGUACUAUACUAUUUGAAUCCAAAUAAGUAUGAAAAACACCAUUAAUAUAUUGUGUCAUUAUCAUUUUUUAAGAUUUUAACCUUACCAUCUAAAAGUAACAUCUAUACUGACAAAAUAUUUUAUAGUAGGAGGAUGAUAACACUUG